UGAGUAGACGAAACUUCUUUUAAAAACAUUAAAAAUCUUAGUGGUUCCAAACUUUUGGACUGUACUGUAUAUCAUCUGACAAUCUGUGGUAUUAAUAUUCGUUAUAUAUUAUGUACAGUGUCAUGCAUUCCAAAUGCUUUUUUUAUCUCCAUAAAGCACACAUUUGUGAAAAUUGUAUGUACCUUAAUCCGUGCUGUUGUAGUCUUCUACGAAUGGUUCACUCAGAUACUCCUAGCAGGCACACAAGCUGGACACAUUAGUAACCACAUACAACGUAGUAGGCUACUUAAUCGUCUCUGGUGGUAUGUCCAUCAAAGGACAUCCUGGUCUUUUAGUUGUUCUGUCCCUCACAAAAAGCAUGACUUCUGAGUAAGAGGAAAUCUGUGGAGUAUGAACUGUUGUCAACUUGCUACGUGAGCAUCAUAAGUUCCUCCACAAUUUCUGUGUCUACACCAACCAGAACUGGUGUACGGACACCAAAAUUCUGUCACGCAACUGUUCACCGGACCUGGAGUAUCUCACAGUUAAGUGUAUUCCCUUUUACUCGCCAAGAGAAAUCUCCUCCGUCAUACUGUGCGUUGUUUACAUUCCACCGAGCGCUGCGAUGACACCAGCAACACAGCAAUUGGCUGAUCACAUCUCCGCGGUGGAAAACUCCAACCCAGACUCUGCAAUCCUGGUGUUAGGAGAUUUUAACCACGUCACUAUGAAGAAAGCUCUUCCCAGAUACAAGCCCCGGAUUCAUAUUCCCACAAGGCUGGAUAAAACACUGGACCAGUGUUACUCCUCCAUUCCAUUCUCUAAUCAGAGCUCCAAUUGAUGAUACCACUGUAGUAGGUCUUAUCUCUGAUGGGGAUGAAUCUAUGUACCGGGACGAAGUGGAACAGCUGGUCAGGUGGUGCGAAGACAAUAACCUAAUCCUCAAUACAUCUAAGACCAAAGAGAUGAUAGUGGACUUUAGAAAGAAGACAGUCCAGUAUCUUCCCCUCUCCAUCAAUGGUCAGGUUGUUGAGAGGGUCUCCUCCUGCUUCUUGGGCACUACCAUACACCAGUCCCUUUCAUGGGACCUGAAUAUUAGUCUCAUUGUAGGCAAAACUCAUCAGAGACUCUUUUUUCCUCCGUCAGUUGAGGAAAUUUGGGGUUAGCCAGGAAGGCAUGACUCAUUUCUAUCGAGCCGUCAUAGAAAGCGUGCUGACCUUCUCUAUCCUGUCCUGGUACGGGAAUGCGACCAGCCAGGAUAAGCACCAGCUAGAGAAAGUAGUGUGCAGAGCCUCCAAGAUCAUUGGCUGCAGUCUGCCUACCAUAGCCUCACAUUACGUCACCAGAAUUAUUAGGAAGGUGGGAAACAUCACCAACGACCCCUACCACCCAGCACAUCACCUGUUCAGUCUUCUGCCAUCAGGGAAGAGGUACAGAAGCAUCACCAGCAGAACAUCACGCUUCAGAGAUAGCACUUAUCUCCAAGCUAUACGAUAUUUAAACAUGGCUUGAUGCUUGAAUGUUUGAUUUAGGUUAUAAACUUGUGGACUGAUUUCUGGCUGUGUUGCUUGCACUAAGCACUUUAUGGUCUGGUCUAUAACCAGUUGACACACUUAAUGUGCAAUAUGUGUUGUUCAUGUCUGUGUAUAUGUGUGUGCUGUGCCAGUGCAUUGUUGUUAACUAUGUGAGCAUACCAAGACAAAUUCCUAUCCACUGUAUUGUUGAAAUGGCUAAAUAAACUUGACCUUGACCUUA